rnacentral:tRNA from 2 species
GCUCCUAUCGUCUAAUGGUUAGGACAUAAGCUUUUCGAGCUUAGAAUGGGAGUUCAAACCUCCUUGGGAGUA